AUUGAACGCUGGCGGCAGGCCUAACACAUGCAAGUCGAGCGGAGCGGCGGACGGGUGCGUAAUGCCUAGGAAUCUGCCUGGUAGUGGGGGAUAACGUCCGGUACCGGGCGCUAAUACCGCAUCCUCUUAGAUGAGCCUAGGUCGGAGUAGCUUGUUGGUGGGGUAAAGGCCUACCAAGGCGACGAUCCGUAACUGGUCUGAGAGGAUGAUCAGUCACACUGGAACUGAGACACGGUCCAGACUCCUACGGGAGGCAGCAGUGGGGAAUAUUGGACAAUGGGCGAAAGCCUGAUGCAGCCAUGCCGCGUGUGUGAAGAAGGUCUUCGGAUUGUAAAGCACUUUAAGUUGGGAGGCGUUACCAGCAGAAUAAGCACCGGCUAACUCCGUGCCAGCCGCCGCGGUAAUUC
rnacentral:rRNA from 1 species